rnacentral:rRNA from 1 species
AUUGAACGCUAGCUACAGGCCUAACACAUGCAAGUCGAGCGGAGCGGCGGACGGGUGCGUAAUGCCUCGGAAUCUGCCUGGUCGUGGGGGAUAACGUCCGGCAACGGGCGCUAAUACCGCAUACUAUCAGAUGAGCCUAGGUGGGAUUCGCUAGUUGGUGGGGUAACGGCCUACCACGGUGACGAUCCGUAACUGGUCUGAGAGGCUGCUCAGUCACACUGGAACGGAGACACGGUCCAGACUCCUACGGGAGGCAGCAGUGGGGAAUAUUGGACAAUGGGCGAAAGCCUGAUCCAGCCAUGCCGCGUGUGUGAAGAAGGUCGUCGGAUUGUAAAGCACUUUAAGUUGGGAGGCGUUACCAACAGAAGAAGCACCGGCUAACUUCGUGCCAGCAGCCGCGGUAAUAC